UACGUAGGGUGCGAGCGUUAAUCGGAAUUACUGGGCGUAAAGCGUGCGCAGGCGGUUUUGUAAGCCAGAUGUGAAAUCCCCGGGCUCAACCUGGGAAUGGCAUUUGGGACUGCAAGGCUUGAGUGCGGCAGAGGAGACUGGAAUUCCUGGUGUAGCAGUGAAAUGCGUAGAUAUCAGGAGGAACACCGAUGGCGAAGGCAGGUCUCUGGGCCACUACUGACGCUGAGAAGCGAAAGCAUGGGGAGCGAACAGG
rnacentral:rRNA from 1 species